CAGAGGGUGCAAGCGUUAAUCGGAAUUACUGGGCGUAAAGCGCGCGUAGGUGGUUUGUUAAGUUGAAUGUGAAAUCCCCGGGCUCAACCUGGGAACUGCAUCCAAAACUGGCAAGCUAGAGUAUGGUAGAGGGUAGUGGAAUUUCCUGUGUAGCGGUGAAAUGCGUAGAUAUAGGAAGGAACACCAGUGGCGAAGGCGACUACCUGGACUGAUACUGACACUGAGGUGCGAAAGCGUGGGGAGCAAACAGGAUU
rnacentral:rRNA from 1 species